GUUUUUAUUUCCUAGAUCGACAGUAUUAUAUUAACAUUACUCCAGCCUACACGGCUAGGUUCAACACAGAUUGAUCUUGAUAUGGAAACUGUAGCUCUUCUCCUCCCCCCCCUUCUUCCAUCAUCAUAACGGUUCUCUGAGAGGAACCUCGACGGUUUCAUGCUGCAUCAUUCACACACACCGUGCAGUUCUGCUCCUCGUUGUCGUCCUUCCCCCUCACUCGUCCUCCUGCCCUUUUAUUCCUCCGAAGUCCUUGAUUCACGUAUAUUCUGCUGAAGAGCUCCUAUACGUCAGGCCGGCAGCAAGGGAGACAAAGACAGGCCGCAGUUAAUUACCUAUCAUUUAGAGCAGAUGGCUGCAGACGAUAUGUAAAUGUGUGCGUCUGUAUGGGUGUGUGUGAGUUUGUCUGCAGGGGUGUGCUUAUACGAUUGUUUAUUUGACUGCAUAUGUGUUUUCAGAUUUGCUUAGCAAAAAAACCAUUAAAAUGGUGUGAAGAAGUUUUGCAAUUAAAAUGAUGAUGCGGAUUGUUUUGCUCCAUCAAGACGUGUUAAUGACUGAAAUCAUAAUUACGGGUUUUGUUUUAGGGUUCCUGCAUGUUCAUUUGUGCUCAGCAGCCUGUUUACUUAUUAAGAAUAAAACCACAAAUUGUGUUUUUAUUCAGUUUAAAAGAGCCCUUUUCGUGUAUGUAAAAAAGACAAAGCAAACACAAGAAUUUGGAUUUAAUCUGUCGCAACAAAGCAACUUGAAUCUAGGCCAUAUGAUUCAGUGGAGAGAUUCGCGCUUUGGUCUUUGACAUGUUCUAGACAGAGAAGACAGAAAUGUUUUCUAUAGUGCGGAACAUGCAAAAGUUACAACGCCUUCCAUAUUCAUUGGCACCCCUUGUAAAAACAUGAAAAAGUCUUAAAUUGUAUUCAUAUCUAAUCUUAAUAACCUUAUGUCGUGGAAAAAUCCAACGAUUAAUUUGAGUAGAUUUCUUUUUUAUGAUAAGAAAUAACUGGGACUUUUUUAAACCUACCUGUGUCACAAUCAGGUUUAUUAAAAUGAGACGCUGACAAGGGAUUUUUCUGGUAACUUGGGAAACAAAUAUAUAGAACAACACACACAGGAAAGAUAAACCACACAAAAACCUUGUGUCCCAAUUGCUCACCUUUCUUUGCAUUAAUCAAUUCUAUUUUAUUUUAAUUUUUUUUGAAGAUUCUAAAAAUUGUGUGAAAGUAGAAGUGAGAGGAUGUUUUUAAUUCCUGUCCAACAGAAACAAAAUAUGCAUGAGGAAAACCGAUGCACAUGUUUCUGCAUAGUGUCCAAAAAAAGCCUUUCACAAUCAUAAGCAAACUAUUGCACACUUACUGAUUCUUUUAAAAUUUACAUUUUGAAAUGUUUGGAUCGUCUAGAAAUUUUGGUUUCCCAGGGGUAUAAAUUUGAUAUAGCACAGGUUUAUCUAUUUACUUACUCUUUAUUUAACCUGGUGAUCUAUUGAGAACAGAUUCGUAUUUACAUACGGACCAAUUUCUUUUAGCCACUCUUCAAAAUGGGAAAAACAACAGAAGAUUUCAUUCAACUGAGGUAAGAUGCAUUCUGAUCUUUAUAAGUCACCAAAUUCCCCUAAGUGGGUUUGUUUCACUUAACAGUUGAAGAAUAGAAAAGCUUAAAACAGCUGGAACUGACUGACAACAUUGGUUUAUUUUUCUGUGCAUGAAAGGCAGAAAAAUAGUUUUUGAACUACAGCAACAUAUGAUAGCGUGAGGUUACACCAUUGCAAAAAUAGAUGGAUUUAUUUGAAAGGUUUUGACAUGAAUUUAAACUAAACAUGGAGGGCGCUGUAUAAGUUGUUAUAUUUAUUUGAAAAGUUAAUGCUUGUUGAAUCUGUACUGGAUCACAGAUUAAUGUUACAGUGAACUCAGUGACACAGGGAGGCAUGUAACCACAGAGGGAAUGUGUGGUAUUCAUAUUAAUAGAACUGCAUGGAAAAAAAAAAACCUGUCUUCUGCAUUCGAACUAUACAUUAAACCUCCUCCAGGCCAACACGUUCUCACCGAAACCUGCACUGAUCGCAGUGAAAAUGCAUGCUACAGUGCACUGUUUUGUGCAUUGUGUGGUUGUUUCUGUAACGUGUGUGUGUGUGGAAAUAAUCUGUGUAUGUUUAUUCCCCACCAACACACUCAGCAGGAGCCUGCGAAUAUAGCCAGCAUGUGUGACUCUAAGUUUUCAGUACCGCAGAUGGAGACCCACUAAUUUACUCAUUAUGGAGAUUUAAUAUGGGAGAAAACUGCAAAUGUGACCACGUAGCAUUGUCCCCCUGUGUGUGUGUGUCAGUUCUUCAUUCAGCUUCAGCUCAGAUCCGUCCGCCCUCUUCCACUUUGCACAUGGAAAAUUAAGUGAUUCCUUUUUUUAUUAUCGUUAUUUGCACAGAUUAAUUUUCUUCAUGCUGGAGCUCGACUCCAUCGGUGCAGCAGCAACAAACAGCAGCAAGUGGAGCUCAUUCACACGAUGCAUAAAAACAGCGGAGCUUUGAUCCGGUCCUGCCUGUGGUCUGCAUCUCUCCCGAAGCAAAAAAACCAUUACAUGCACUUUAUGUGACAGAUGCACUUGUCAUGCAGAGGGAAGCUCAGAUCCCUGGCAAUCAGAGGUGUCGGGAGAUGCCUCCAGAAGCUAUAUUAAUAUUCAUGAGAGCAGGAGCUGCCCUAUGAUGUAAUUGCGGUAGCAGCGAAGACGGAGGACGACUGAGAUGAGAGUCUGUCGUCAAUUGUGUUAUCUCAGACUUUUUUAUGCCAACAGAGAGUCAGACUCUAGCGCAACAACGACUCUCUCCUGUUUUCUCUGGCUGGACACACAUCGCAGCAGGCGAGGCUUUUCAUCCUCAAAGCAACACUGCUUACAAACCUCAAGUCCACCCGUGUGGUCAGUUUCCAAGAGGGAUGUGCCUUGUAUUAAUAUUUCUCUCUUGGCUUGAAUGUGGUACUUAACAUCUUUACCUUAUAUCAAAGCAAAACAUCAAAUGUUGAUAUUUGACUAUUAAAGCACUUCUUCCUCAAAAAUUAUAAGCCA